UUUUUUAAAAGCGCUGGGGCCCACCCAGAUCCUAUACGUGAGCAUGGCCGUGUUUGCUCUGCCCUCCGAGUGCAGAGUAGGUUUGGCUGCUGCCAUGGAAGGGAAAGAGGAGGGGAGGGGAGGGGUGGGCUCACUUCUACACUUACUAAGCCCACUCACACAUGAACUGCUCCGUCAAUGCUGAAGAGCAGCCAAUGAAAAGAACUCAGCAGCAGCAGCAGCACAGAGAAAGACUGCCUCCGCUGGGCCACAGCCAGCCCGUCACAACCCCAGCACAGGGCUGCGGUCGAGACAGCAGGCCUCAGCAUACAGUGGCCUGACAUAAGCACAGUGUGCUUAAACAUGCAGUCGGCCCCGGUGAGCUCAGCGUGCUUCUGCACAGACCGAGACUCGGCUAAGGUGCUUCUAUACUGAAAACCACAGCGCUCCAAGCAUAAAACACAGCAGGGCUCCAUACGAGCUAGGAAUGGCCUUUCUGUAUGCCUAAUGAGAUGUUCUCACCUGUGCUCUAGCAGGAUAAUGCAACAUAAGCGACUGGGGAAUUACGGAAAAAUGAUCAAUAACACAAAUAAAUGUUUGCUGCUCGGUACACACAUGCACACACUGUCAACCAGAAGCAAGACCCUGAGAUAUGAAGAAUGCGAGCACUUGUAGGGAAAAGGAUUACUGAUGAGGAGCCAUUCAUUGUGUGUAAUUGAGAUUCUUUCCCAUUCAAGAGACAUGAGAGUAGAGGCCCAACAUGUGCCUUUAGGCUGAGCAGAGGAGAAGCCACGGUGCACACAUGGACAGGGGAAGAUAAGAGACUAUGUACACAAGCUGCUGGUUUUAUUGCUGCAACAUAACGCUCGGAUAGCAUUUUAAACACAUUUUCAGAAAACCUGCCAGUGCCGUCCUCGCUGCCGUGGAACCAUGCCACGGUGCUGAAAUGUGUCAUUGGGCUCAAUUUCUCACCCAAUUUCAACCGAACGGAAAAUGGCACUUUGGUGACAGCAAUGAGGCUGACCAGAAGGAGAUGUGAGUGGCAAAUGCCGUAAAAGACGAAUCUCCACGGCGCACUCGGUGGCACGCCGCCGAACUAAGGCACGGCUGUUAUGAUAGCUAUCAUCAUUUCCGUAUCUAUGAUCCUCAAACAAGGCCCUCUCCCCCUCCACACGUCACAUAGCCUCGGGUCCAAUGGCGCACCGUGCCGUCACACGUGAUAAUGACACCCACAUCAACGUGUCAACUCAAUUUGGCCCUCUUAUAGGCUCUCUUUGACUCAAUCAAUGCAUGGCCUUCCAUCUGGGUUCCACUCCUGUCCUCACAUUAGAGGAGUGGGGAUGGACAGGCAUUUUACUAACAGCUCACUAAACCUGCCCCCACUCCCCACCCUUGGACAUCUGCAGUUUAACAUCACAUAUUACAUAUUUUCCUUAACCUAAUAAUCCAACAGUGUUCUCAGAACGUGCAGCAAAGUCAAAAGCACCCUGUCAAGUAGGCUACAAAGGCUUCAAACACAAAUCAAAAACCAAGUCAUGUCGGGUCAAUAACUGUGAGCUGAACAGAUCAUUAACUGUGGCGAUAAAUUUGCCAAGUUUUUCUUCUUCUUCUUCUUUUUUAAUUUGAAAAACCCAUCUUACAAGGCAUUCCAAUAAAUAUCAGGCAGGCACAUUUCUAGCUCGUUAAAAUUUAAUCCAAUUAAAUCCCUAUUUAAAACAAAGUUACACCUCCACAACAACCAAGCACAGAGGCUGUUAUCUUGGGCUGCAGCUCAUUAUUUCUCAGAGCAGCUCGUCUGGCUGACAGUGUGGUAGACUGGGACAUCCAGUAAACAUCUGUCAUGAAGCAUCCUUACAGGGGAGCACAGACACAGUAAGCUACUGAUCCAGUGACCCGACAGUGCAGGCAUUCACACAUGCCUUGGUGCACCUGCGUGUGAGCCUCUGCUAUCGUCAUGUUUAGGCCAAUUUUAAGGAUUUGUGCUUAUAAACCGUUUAUGAAUCAUUUAUUCGCCAUCACAGUGGAGGGGCCUAGAGAGAUGAUGUGUUAUCCCAUUAGGUUUCAAUAGCUCAUUCAUGAAUCAUUCAUCAGUUUGGACUAUAGAUUAUUCCCCCUUUAUUCAUUUCUUAUUCAUUUUGGGCCAGUGUACUGCUCGGGAUGCAUUACGUUGCUUCAAAAUGACGUCCACAGGCCAGUGUUUGCCUUCAAAACAUGCAAACAGUGCAAGGUAACUGGCAUCAACGCGAACAACCACACGUGGCAUCUGUAUUUGGAUUGAAUUUGUGAGCCUUAAGCGAAUAGAUCGGAGCUUGUGCUUUAAGUAAGUGGGGGUAUUUUUUUUCGCAGGGAGAAGGUAAUCGAUGGAGCAGAGACGAAUGAAUGUAGGCUACGACAGCUGUCCCAAGGAGGCCAGGGCGUACAACAUGCUUCAGGCUGAAGGCGGGUGAUUGCACAGGGUGGAAGAUGUAGGAGGAUGACUGCCAAACCCUAUGCAAGUUGUCAGCAUGCUAAAUAGGUUAGGUGACCCACAGUACUGCUGACUCUAGUCUUGGACUUUGGGUUCUGACAGUUUUACAGGUGGGACAAAGGACUCACGCUUCCCCGCUUUAACUUUAUGUUCAGUUGUAUACUGCAGACAGAUCUGUUGAAUCUUCGAUUGUAGUGUUUGCCUAAUAAAAUAGAAUAAAAUUCUCCCUGGAGGUGGUCUUUUUGUACAUAGCAGUGACUGUCGGUCAGAUCUAGAAUCUGUGUGUUUCACAUCCGCCUCUCUAAAAUUAGAGUUUGCUAUUGCUAAUGACAAAGACUUCCAUCAGAUGUGCACAACAAGGAAAGGCAGCAAAAAGCAAAUGUUCAACAUUUUUGCACAACGGACUGAAACAUGAAGUGUCAGCUGUCAGUUUGUAAAACAGUUAGUCAUUAAAUUAAUCGGUUGGUAUAAUGACAAUUAUGGUUUCAUACUGUUUAAUGAAUAACAAAUACUAAACAUUUCUUCUUUCAACCCCUGAAAUAUGAUGAUUUGACGAUAGUCUGAAAAAUAAAGGGUCUGAUUUCGAG